rnacentral:rRNA from 1 species
AUUGGGUAGGGGAGCGUUCUGUAAGCGGUUGAAGGUGUGUGGUAACGCAUGCUGGACGUAUCAGAAGUGCGAAUGCUGACAUGAGUAACGAUAAAGGGGGUGAAAAACCUCCUCGCCGGAAGACCAAGGGUUCCUGUCCAACGUUAAUCGGGGCAGGGUAAGUCGACCCCUAAGGCGAGGCCGAAAGGCGUAGUCGAUGGGAAACGGGUUAAUAUUCCCGUACUUCUUACAAUUGCGAUGGGGGGGACGGAGAAGGCUAGGUGGGCCUGGCGACGGUUGUCCAGGUUCAAGUGCGUAGGCUU